CCUACGGGUGGCAGCAGUGAGGAAUAUUGGUCAAUGGACGAGAGUCUGAACCAGCCAAGUAGCGUGAAGGAUGACUGCCCUAUGGGUUGUAAACUUCUUUUAUCUGGGAAUAAAACGUUCCACGUGUGGGAUUUUGUAUGUACCAUAUGAAUAAGGAUCGGAUAACUCCGUGCCAGCAGCCGCGGUAAUCCGGAGGAUCCGAGCGUUAUCCGGAUUUAUUGGGUUUAAAGGGGGCGUAGGGGGAUUGUUAAGGCAGUUGUGAAAGUUUGGGGCUCAACCGUAAAAUUGCAGUUGAAACUGGCAGUCUUGAGUACAGUAGAGGUGGGCGGAAUUCGUGGUGUAGCGGUGAAAUGCUUAGAUAUCACGAAGAACUCCGAUUGCGAAGGCAGUUCACUGGACUGCAACUGACACUGAGGCUCGAAAGUGUGGGUAUCAAACAGGAUUAGAUACCCUUGUAGUA
rnacentral:rRNA from 1 species